GUCUACGGCCAUACCACCCUGAACGCGCCCGAUCUCGUCUGAUCUCGGAAGCUAAGCAGGGUCGGGCCUGGUUAGUACUUGGAAUGGGAGAAACCAAAUUCUCAGAAU
ensembl:rRNA 5S_rRNA 5S ribosomal RNA